UACGUAGGAUGCAAGCGUUGGCCGGAAUUAUUGGGCGUAAAGAGCGCGCAGGCGGUAUGACAAGUCAGAUGUGAAAGAGGCCGGCUUAACCGGCAAGGGUCAUUUGAAACUGUCAGACUAGAGUGCAGCAGAGGAUAGUGGAAUUUCCGGUGGAGCGGUGAAAUGCGUAGAGAUCGGAAAGAACACCAACGGCGAAAGCACUCUGCUGGGCCGACACUGACACUGAGAGACGAAAGCUAGGGGAGCGAAUGGG
rnacentral:rRNA from 1 species